rfam:Camelus ferus unplaced genomic scaffold scaffold931, whole genome shotgun sequence.
CAAAAAGUUUUUUUAAAAACUACUAGAAUUAAUAAAUGAGUUCAUG